UACGUAGGGACCGAGCGUUGUCCGGAAUCAUUGGGCCUAAAGCAUCCGUAGCCGGUCAUGCAAGUCUUCCGUUAAAUCCAGCCGCUCAACGGUUGGGCUGCGGAGGAUACUACGUGGCUAGGAGGCGGGAGAGGCAAGCGGUACUCAGUGGGUAGGGGUAAAAUCCUUUGAUCCAUUGAAGACCACCAGUGGCGAAGGCGGCUUGCCAGAACGCGCUCGACGGUGAGGGAUGAAAGCUGGGGGAGCAAACCGG
rnacentral:rRNA from 1 species